rnacentral:rRNA from 1 species
GGGGAAUAUUGCACAAUGGGCGAAAGCCUGAUGCAGCAACGCCGCGUGAGUGAUGAAGGCCUUCGGGUUGUAAAGCUCUGUCUUCUGGGACGAUAAUGACGGUACCAGAGGAGGAAGCCACGGCUAACUACGUGCCAGCAGCCGCGGUAAUACGUAGGUGGCAAGCGUUGUCCGGAUUUACUGGGCGUAAAGGAUGCGGAGGCGGAUACUUAAGUCAGAUGUGAAAAUCCCGGGCUUAACUUGGGAACUGCAUUUGAAACUGGGUAUCUAGAGUGCGGGAGAGGAAAGUGGAAUUCCUAGUGUAGCGGUGAAAUGCGUAGAGAUUAGGAAGAACACCAGUGGCGAAGGCGACUUUCUGGACCGUAACUGACGCUGAGGCAUGAAAGCGUGGGGAGCAAACA